AGCAACCUGGUCUAGUGGAAGGUGUCCCUUCCCAUGGCAGAGGGUGGAAUGAAAUCAUCUUUAAGGUCCCUUCCAACCCAAACCAUCCUGUGACUCUGUGAUCCCAUGUGAAGUGAUCCCUGUUAGGGACAGUGCACAGCCAAGCCCCCAUCUCAACAACAGCUCUCUGCAAGGAGGGAUCCCCACACCCUGUGAGUGGGGGGAGUUUGGCAGGCUCAGUGCACGUGGAGAGUUUCUGUGGGGAUCCUGUGUGUGCAGAACUCAGCUGGAGCACCAUCGUCAUUGUAAGAGCUGUGUUAUUCUCACUGAACAAAUUGUUCCGACAAAUAAAGAAUGAAAUGUC